AACGAACGCUGGCGGCACGUUUUAAGCAUGCAAGUCGAACGGUAGCAGGGGUAACCCUGUGAGAGUGGCGAACGGGUGCGUAACACGUAGGUGAUCUAACCUAGUAGUUGGGGAUAGCUUGUGGAAACAUGGGGUAAUACCGAAUAACCUGUUUGAGCUAUGGUUUAUACAGGAAAGGCGCUAAGGCGCCGCUACAGGAGGAGCCUGCGGCUGAUUAGCUAGUUGGUGGGGUAAAAGCCUACCAAGGCGAUGAUCAGUAGCCGGCCUGAGAGGGUGUACGGCCACACUGGGACUGAGACACGGCCCAGACUCCUACGGGAGGCAGCAGCUAAGAAUCUUCCGCAAUGGGCGAAAGCCUGACGGAGCGAUGCCGCGUGAUUGAAGAAGGUCGAGAGAUUGUAAAGAUCUUUUCCACUUGAGGAAUAAGUCUAGGAGGGAAUGCCUUGAUGAUGACGUUAGAGUGGGAAUAAGCCCUGGCUAAUUACGUGCCAGCCGCCGCGGUAAGAC
rnacentral:rRNA from 1 species